rnacentral:rRNA from 1 species
UACGUAGGUGGCAAGCGUUGUCCGGAAUUAUUGGGCGUAAAGCGCGCGCAGGCGGUUUCUUAAGUCUGAUGUGAAAGCCCACGGCUCAACCGUGGAGGGUCAUUGGAAACUGGGAAACUUGAGUACAGAAGAGGAGAGUGGAAUUCCACGUGUAGCGGUGAAAUGCGUAGAUAUGUGGAGGAACACCAGUGGCGAAGGCGACUCUCUGGUCUGUAACUGACGCUGAGGUGCGAAAGCGUGGGUAGCGAACAGG